rnacentral:lncRNA from 1 species
GGAUAUGUUCGAUUCAUUGUAAAUAUGCUGCAGCUCAUUCUGCUUUCAUCAGUUAGUUAUAUCUCUUCUUUUCGCCUUCCCUUUUGCGACCACUGUUGGGCUGGGAUCAUAAUAUGAGCUGUGCUAAAACAGAAAGGGUGUUUAUUCUGCUAAAACGAAAUACAGUUGGGUAAAAGUUCUGAUAAUGCUUCUGCACUCUGUCGAGAUCGCCGGCGUUGCCCACACGCCAGCUCAUGCCACUCGUUACUGCUAGAUAAGUAGCCACGGCAUGGCCGUUAGACGGUGGUGCCGAGGAAUUCCCACUCUUUGCAGUAAAAUCUACGUACUCCUUUCUGUCAUUGUGUGCGAGCGAUGAUUGAUACUCCCUCCGUUCCUGUAUAAAUCCGUGUAGAGAUUUCAUUAUGGACUACAUACAGAGCAAAAUGAAUGAAUCUACACUUUAAAAUGCAUCUAUAUACGUCCGUAUGUGGUUCAUAAUGAGUACAUGCGGCCAAAGCUUAUCUCUCUGCCAGCCUCCCACGCAAGCCGACUUGCCUAAUGCCUCGUGACCUGCCGGCGCAGAAGAGAGUAAUGCGCUGCGGAUCAGAUGCCAUUGCUACUGGUGUGAGGAGCACGCACUGGGCCUGCUGCUGCCCGCGGUGCCAAGGGAACGUACGCGGGCCGCCACCGCCAGCCAGAGAACGCGCGUUGCGUAGCUCACAACCAAUCGAUUCUGACUUGGAGCAACGAAGGGAGUCCUAUACAAUCAGCGGGAUCAAAAACUGCGGGGACCCUCAGCGCCAAGGUUCAGGAAUCAGGAACCUUUCCUCACCACCAGCAGCGUUCCAGACAAACGACUUUGCUCAACACAACGAGAAAACCACAUUGGAUGGCUGUUUCGACUUCCAUUCAAACCAACACCUUGGAAGCAACAUAAGACUUUGUUCCUAAUUUUGCCAGAUGAUCGUUUCACGUCCGCCUCCAAACUGAGUGAUCAGAAAACCCAACCAACCAAACUCCGCAACUCAACCAACCACACAGUUCAAGAACCUUCUGUUACCACUGAUCACAUGAAGAAGGCCCUAUGUUUUCACGGAUGAAGCUAGACGCCCAAUUGCCCCUCCGUCGAGGGCUCCCUCUUCUUGUCCGGGCAGAAGACAAAGAACGCGGCGGCACCUGGAAUGAGGACGUAGGACAAUCUCUUGUGGAACUGCUCGCUACGCUCUAAGCUGCAGGUUAAGAAAGACCACACAACCUGAAUAUCAUAGCAUUACAUGUGUGCAUGCGUAUCGUGCAUGAAGAAAAAACGAGUUGCUUGCUUUACCGUCUCUCAUGUUCUAGCAGAGUACCAAUAUCCUUCUCCAUCACACACAAGUUCUCAUUAAGCUUCUCCAGGGCCGCCUCCGUGCGCAUGUGGGCCACGCAGCACGCCUGGAUACAAAUGAAACUUACACAUAAGAGAGCAUGCAAUGUAUCUUAUUUGAGUGCCAAAAAAUCGCUAUAUGUUUGCAUUCUCAACAUUAGCACAGCGCCUCAUUACUGAACCAUACGGAUGUCAGACACACUGAGAAUACUUGCAGUGCCCCAUUAGCCUUGCUAGCUGCUACAGGGAAGAGUACAGAGCACAACAUCAGGCAACAGACAACUAUGAGUGGUACCAAUAGAAGGCUCAAUCCUUAUGAAGAAGCUAGUUCUAUUACACCAAGCUAAGUCAGUACACGGUACCAAGGGAAGGAUCAAACCAUAUACUUAUUUGUUAUACCUAUUGGUCAAACCGUCAAAGCAUCCAGUGUGAAGAGCACAAGAGCAGUGGACGUAUAGUAUACUAAGAGAACAAAAGAGCUUAAAAUUGAAAGUUUACUAAUCACACCAAGCUGUCAAGCAAAUAAUAAUGCCAUUUCUGUCGAACCAACAUGUCAUAACUCUAUAUGAAAGAGCAUUUGCAAAAGGGAUAUUACCAGUGAGCAUGUCAAAACUGAUGUCAUUGCAAACUAAAGCGGUUGAAGGAUACUAC